CACCUCAAAGCCUUUCAAACACUCACCAACCACGACAAUUCGUGAUGGUAUGUGCUUGAACAUCGGUCAAGACCUGCGUGGUGUUUAAUGGAUGUUCCCCUGAUUAUUGAUUAUAGAGCGAUGCAUCAAAAGUAAGUCCCAGAAUUAACUCUACAGCUUGUUAAUAAAU
rnacentral:lncRNA from 1 species